GCUUCGGUGAUGUAGUGGCAGAGCACGUGUUUACGUAUAGGAUGAAACGCGGGUUCGAUUCCCGCCUGAAGCC